UCAAGAUGACCACGCUGAACAAGUCGUCACCCCUGAGGACUCUGAAUGUUCUGAUUGUGGUGACCGCUGUUGAAGGACAGUCUGGAUAAGUUUAUUAAAAAGUAUCAUCAGUCGGCCCUCAGCUUCAAAAUCUGACAUCUCACAGACUCCACCUCAGGUUGCUGUUUGCCCUCCGUCUUAGAAGAUCCUACGCCACAGACCUUCAACCAGCUUCAUGUCACAGCUUGAUCGAAGACAAUAUGUAAGUUCUCACACACUCAUUUUUUCUUUUUUAGUCUGUGCAUUUUUUUUGUCCAACUCUUACCAAUAACUCUUUUUUCAGCAAAGUUCAAACAUCUUGAGACUGAGCGCCUGGAGCAGAAAACGAUCUGGAGUCAGGCCAGAGAAAGGAGGUGAUAGACAAAGAAAGAGAAGAGAAGCGAUGAGAGGAAGGCACAAAGGCAGCGCAGAAGAUGAACUCUGUGACUUAUGGUCUAUCCAUCUUCAGAGGAAAGAUUGGUGUCUGAAUAUACACAUUUCAGAUUUUCCCUCAUGCCUCAAACGUGCAACG